rnacentral:rRNA from 1 species
GGCCGCGGUAUCCUGACCGUGCAAAGGUAGCAUAAUCAUUUGUUCCUUAAUUAGGGACUUGUAUGAAUGGCCCCACGAGGGUUUGACUGUCUCUUACUUUUAAUCAGUGAAAUUGACCUUCCCGUGAAGAGGCGGGAAUACAUAAAUAAGACGAGAAGACCCUAUGGAGCUUAAAUUAAUUUGUUCAAUCAAAAUUCAAUUUUUAUCCAACAGGAAUAAUAACAUUUUAACUGAACAACAAAUUUUGGUUGGGGUGACCUCGGAGUACAAAAGAACCUCCGAGCGAUUUAACUAAGACAUACUAGUCAAGGCCAUAUAACUCAUUGAUCCAAUCAUAUUGAUCAACGGAACAAGUUACCCUAGGGAUAACAGCGCAAUCCUAUUUGAGAGUUCAUAUCGACAAUAGGGUUUACGACCUCGAUGUUGGAUCAGGACACCCAAAUGGUGCAGCAGCU